AUCACCUAGGGUUCUUAUUAAAAUGAAGAUUCUGAUUCAGUGGCUCUGGACUGGGACCUGUGAGUCUGCAUUUUUAAUAAGCUUCUAUGUGAUGUCAA
rnacentral:pre_miRNA from 1 species